rnacentral:rRNA from 1 species
AGUGAACGCUGGCGGUAGGCCUAACACAUGCAAGUCGAACGGCAGCACAGUAAGAGCUUGCUCUUACGGGUGGCGAGUGGCGGACGGGUGAGGAAUACAUCGGAAUCUACUUUUUCGUGGGGGAUAACGUAGGGAAACUUACGCUAAUACAGCAUACGACCUACGGGUGAAAGCAGGGGAUCUUCGGACCUUGCGCGAUUGAAUGAGCCGAUGUCGGAUUAGCUAGUUGGCGGGGUAAAGGCCCACCAAGGCGACGAUCCGUAGCUGGUCUGAGAGGAUGAUCAGCCACACUGGAACUGAGACACGGUCCAGACGACUACGGGAGGCAGCAGUGGGGAAUAUUGGACAAUGGGCGCAAGCCUGAUCCAGCCAUACCGCGUGUGUGAAGAAGGCCUUCGGGUUGUAAAGCCCUUUUGUUGGGAAAGAAAAGCAGCAGGUUAAUACCCCGCUGUUCUGACGGUACCCAAAGAAUAAGCACCGGCUAACUUCGUG